CCCGCCCCAAAUCUCCGCUUCCCGUCAAUCACGCGCUGCUCCCCAAUCCCCUCCCCACCCCGGCGCUGCUCCCCCGCCGCGGCAGCGCGAAGGCUCGCGAUGGGCGGCGGCAUGCCGCGUGGGGAGAAGCAGCGCGAGGGGGCCGGGGGGGGGGGGCACGGCUCGAGGGCUGGCGAGGCCGCUGCGCGAGGGAAUGUGGACCCUCCCGAUCCGCUUUCCCCCUGCCCACCAUCCCGGCCACCUCGAGCCCCAGGCCCCGCUCCGGGGGGCCGCGGUGCCAUGCCGCGCCCUUCUGUUCCGAUCACCCCGCCGCUGCCUUCGCCCCGAUCCGGUGCUGCAGCAGAUGUGUUCCUUAGAUUCAUUUAAUUUAGUUUCUUCGGCAAAUUCGUGGCUUAUCUUCUUUGGGCCUUCUCGAUCUAGCGUUGAUUUGGGACUCUAGAUGGCAAGUCGGAAGUGAAGGAUGCAAAGGAAGAGGAAGAGAAAGAAGGCUGUCGUUGUGGGCGAGGAGGCGUCCGGAUCUGGCAAGAAGCUGGGAUUCCUCAUUUGAAGUGGUUCGGAGUGGAGGGGGAGUACAAUGUCAUGGUUAUUGAUCUUCUUGGUCCAAGUCUGGAGGACUUAUUCAACUUCUGCAGCCGAAGAUUCUCUCUUAAAACAGUACUAAUGCUAGCUGAUCAGAUGGUUAGUUUCUCUUAUGGUGUCAUCCAUUUGCGAUUACUUUUUGUUAUCUGUAUCACACCUAUGAAAAAUAUGUCAAUGAAUCUUAAGUCUUUGUUUGGUGGAUUUUCUUCCCUUGAUUUCCAUACAGAUAGCCAGGAUUAAUUAUUAAUUAUUUUUGGUACAGUUCAUAUAGUGGCUAUAAUGGCAAGGAUUUAACUGGGCAGAAUGGCAUUUCCUAUCAAAUUCAUGGCUUCUCUUAUGUUCUAUCAGAUUUCAGAUGUAUUAUUGCUCUCUAUUUUGUACUGACACCCUGACCUUUUUAGGGCGAUAAUGUAUCUGAUGACUUGCCGUCUUCAAAAGUUUAUAUGUUUACCUAAUUAUAUCUGAUUUGCUAUGAUGAAUUAGCAUAUGGUUGGAUAUGCUGUUUGGCUCCUAGAGGUUUAUCUUAUUGAUUAUAGUGCACUAGCUGGAAUGAAGCUUUCCCAUGUAUGUAUUUAGAAUUUUAACUGUUUAGAACUAGAUGAAGUUGGGGACAAGCAGAUAAGCAGGGCUGUUGUAUAAAUGAAGAUCAAAAUUGCCUCAUCUGGUUUUGUUUUUUGUUGGCAUAGUUCGUUGUCGCUGCAUACUAUACUACUGUUACACGCGGAUGGAAAUGAGCUUUAGACUAAUAAUUUCAUAUGUUAGCGUAGGAGAAUAAGCCAUGUUUCUUAUAUGUGCACCAUUCAUUAGGUUGAUGUUGGCCUCCCUGCAGACUGCGGCUUGCUGCAAUUUCUAUUUGUGUUAGAUAGGGAGGAGGCAAACAUACAGUUGGUUGUCUGGAACUCUAUAUAUAAAGGCCUUGCGACGCAGCCCUUGCAAGUCGAGUGACCGGAAGAAGGGGAAAAAGUCAGAGACGUUGGCUUUGGUCAUCAGAUUGGCGACCUCCUCCACGUGGUGCCGUAUCCCGUGCGCCGACUCGGUGCUGUCCAUGUCGACCAUGUCGACGGAGAAGAAGCUGCUGGACAUGAGGUUGAGCAUGGCCGCGUAUAGCGGCCAGGCCCACCUCCACUCGCUAGGAGCGGUAAUAAGCUAUGGUUUUAGUGGUCUCUUUACAGCCCAAGAAUGAUUAGUACUCACACUCACACACUCAAAUACGAGUACUUGUACCGAGUCGGGUAUUGAAUCUGAGUGGAUAUGUUUUACCACAAGAAACUUUACCUGUAAGUUACAGUGAGUUUACCAAAAUUAUGUUAUUAAUAAUUUCAUCUAAGUCAAACUUCUCUAGUUUUGAUCAAAUCUACAAAAAUAAUCCACCAAUGUUUCCAUCGGCAUCACAUUUAUUUGAUAUUUUAGAUGUUAAUUUAUUUUAAAAUAAUUUGAUGGAAGUUAGAAAUGCUUGACUUAUAGACAAAACUAGAGUAACCUAUAAUUGUUGGUAUGAGUCAUUAUCUAAUCUUGCAAUGUCAAACACAUACGGUAGUACUCCGGAUCGCCUAAAGUGGUCAUCCUUUCAUGGGAGACAAGUAAACGUAGCAAUGGUUGCUACUUGCUUUAACUUAUUAUUUAUUCUACCUCCACUUUAAAAUUCAGAACCACAACUAAUAUAAUAUAAUCUAUUUAACCAUGUUCUAAUUGAGUAGAUAUAUGUUCUAUGGGUUUGAUGUGAAUAUUUAUGUUUCUCUAUUUUGUGGUAAUCUAAAAAGUUAUACAUGACUUUCAUAGCUAUUGGGAAAGGUGUGAAUAUGUUUUUCUUCUUAACCAAUGUAGCUAUGUGGUGGGUAUUUUCCCGUCUACUUUAACAUGAGUGCCUAUAUGUAUAAAAUGUUUGUUAGAUGAUGGUUUUGAUAUUGUGGUUGACGUUGAUAAAUUAUUUACAUAUGACAUAUAUUUAGUAAUUUAUCCUAUGUCAUGUCUUCCCGUGAGUAAAAUCUAUGGAAUGCUUGGCAGUUUACUAAUGAGUGGGCUGGUUGUAGUAGAGGUUAUGUUAAUCUUAGUGUAUGAUAACCUCUAAGGUGUUUACGCUACUGAUGUCUCCUAGUGCUAUCAUACAUUGGGUAAAUUGGAGUUUGAAUUAUGAAUGAGAUUCAAAAUAAUUUCCUACUAUUCUUUGGUAUAUGUGUUAAAAUAUAAGGAUUGAACUUUGGGUUGACUAGCUCUAUUUGGAAACAUUUUCAUAUGAUAGAUAUGCUUCGUGCUUGAAUUAUGAAAUUAGAGUUCUUCUCUAUGUUUAAAUCACUCAUGGCUACAUGCUAUCCUAUUUCUUUAAGAUUAAGGAGAUCUAUAGAUAUGAUGAUAUGAUUAACUAUUUGUUUGAUGUUUGGCAUAUGUGAGAUUACAUUAUUUAAUCAUGAUUGAUGCUAUUUAUGUUAGCGAAGCACCGCUUGUAUCUCUCUACAUUAAUUAUCAUGGACUAUUCUCUUUUUCCAUCAUGGAGUACAUGGUAUUUGGAUAUUAUUUGGAUAUGACAUUGAUCUCAUGAUAUUGUUCCUCAGAUAUUCUUUUGCUAAGAAUGUAUAGUUGCACUUUGAAAAUAUUCAGCACAGAUCAGAUCAGAUAUGUUCUUCAAUUCAAACAACACCUUAGAAAAUAGAUAUUUAUUCAAAUGAUUAUCCGACCAUCUCAACUCUCAUGCAAAGUAUCUUUAACAUAUUUUUUUCUUACAAAAUCUUUUCCAGGAAACAUGUCCUACCUCAAGUAAAUGCAUGCCAAGAAAAAAAGGAGAGAAAAGCACCAGCCAGCGCAGCAGCAGGAAACAAAGUUGGAAGACCACUCACCAAGUCAAGUCAAGGAGAAAACUCUCCAACCACUUGAUAUUGGCUUCUACCGAUUAGGAAUGUAGGCUGCUAUGGCAAGACUCACCACGGUUAUGAGAAACCAUCAGCUCGAUGUGAGUCAGCAAGCUCAGUUUAGACUAAAGAAAAUAGCUACGUUCUGUUCUGGAAUUUUGCAGCAGUUGAUUAUGGAUUGGUUGCGUGCUAGGCAUCGGUUCUUGCUCUAACCCAUGAGCUUGCACAGCAAAUUGAGGAGGCCAUGUACAUCGAGGUUAGUUCUUCCCAACUCUGUUCUUCCCAAAUUUACUUUUGUUCAGGUCCAACCCAGGCCUUUCUUCUUUUCUUGCUAUAAUCAGAGCAUAUUUUCUUCCAAUAUGCUUGCAGCAGUAUGCUUGAAUCUAUAACAAAUACCUGCUUGCUCCAAAUCCAGAAACCAAAUACAUCAGUGCUCCAAACUCUUCAUAUAGCAUACUGUGCUCGAGCUUGCCAAGACGCCAACCCUUGCUCCACCUUCUCUUAUACGGCUUUCUAUGUGUGUGAGUACUCCUGGGAUUGGAUUGACAUCCAAAAUCCAAUGGGAGGAAUCCAAUUGAAGUCCAACUAAAAUCAAGCUACAUCUAGUCCAAUCCUAACAAUUAGUCUACAACAUCCAAUUCAGUCUAUUCCAACGCCUCUUAAUCCAAAUCCAUCUAAUAUAAUCUAAUUGCAUCGCCCAUGGCGGCAGCACCUCGCACCGCCACACCAAGGGCGGCCCCGCUGCACCAAAGAGUCCGCCAUGUCCUUUGCUUCUCGUUCCCGCACCAAAGACGCACGGAGGCGAGGGAUAAGUUGGUGCGGCUGGCUUUUGCCUCUGUCCCGUGCAGUCCAUGUGCAACGCCUCUGGCAUCGGGUUCAAGGAGGAGCGGCACACGGCGGCCAUGGACGCUCAAGGCACGUGUGGCUACGCCGCGCAGCGGGCGCAGCACAGGUACGGGCCGGGCGGGAAGCAGGCGCCCAGCGUCGUGCCCAGCUACGGCGAGGUGAAGUUCCCGUGCGGCGGCGGCAGCGACGUAUGCGGACGCCGCGCCGAGGCGCCGUUCCUUGCGCGGCGGCUGAACGCCGUCGCGCCGGUGCCGGCGCUUGCGCCUGCUUUCGCGUCGGGCUGGAGCGGGCGGGGAAGAAGAUGUGCUGGUAGCGCUCUCCUCCUCUAGUCCGAUAGGAUUUGGAUUAUCCUUUUUUUUUAUCCAAUAGAAUCCAAUCCUAACUCAUCUAAAGCGGUGGAUAUCCAUAUCCAAUUAGAUCCAAAUCCAGUAGAAUCCAAACGCCAAAAUCCAAUUAAAUUUGGAUUUAGCCCAAUCCAUUUCCAGGAGUACGUGUGAGUGGCAAAAAAAUUCUUUUUCUGUUGUGCUUUUCUUUUCAGAUAGGGGAUAUCCUUCUUACAAGCCACACGGCCAGGUUUGCAGCAUGGGUGGCACUGGUGCUAAUUAGUUGCAUUACUGUAGCAGGUAUCAGCCGAGGGCUCAAGGGCAGUAGUAGGAAGCCAUGUUUUCUGUCACAUCCUUUGAUCAGUUCUAUCACUUCGUACCGACGUGAAAAAACAUGUGUAUUUAGAUUCCUAUUAAAAGACUAAAUAGUAGCUCUAUAAAUUACAUGUUCCAUUAUAAAUAUAUGUUUUCUACAUUUACUCAUCUUGAGAAAAAAGAAAAAAACAGGGCACGCUACUUCCAAUGUAAUGCGAGAAAUGGUUUACUCCCCAUCUUCAUCGCAAACAAGACCAGAGCAAAACCAUGUCAGUGCUUAGAGCACUAAGCCAGAUUGGAAAAAGGUCAGGAGCAACACAACCAUUCCAGGGACUUAACAUUUAGCACUGCCAAUACAGAAGAUUUAAUAGGCAGUAGCGCUUUUGUACUAAUACGUAGUUGUGCAUUGUAUAUGAGAAAUAAUUGUACUAUCAUAUAUACCUGCUAACAUAUGGCCAUACCAUGUGAUUGACCUGUUUAUAUGUAUUAAUGAUGCCCUAUCUUAAUUUGAUGA